UACGGAGGCCCCAAGCGUUGUUCGGAUUUAUUGGGCGUAAAGGGUGCGUAGGCGGCGUGGUAAGUCUGGUGUGAAAGGCGGGGGCUCAACCCCCGGACUGCAUUGGAUACUGCCAUGCUAGAGGACUGGAGAGGAGAAUGGAAUUCACGGUGGAGCAGUGAAAUGCGUAGAUAUCGUGAGGAAGGCCAGUGGCGAAGGCGAUUCUCUGGACAGUAUCUGACGCUGAGGCACGAAGGCUGGGGGAGCGAACAGG
rnacentral:rRNA from 1 species